rnacentral:rRNA from 1 species
AGCAGCCGCGGUAAUUCCAACUCCAAUAGCGUAUAUUAAGGUUGCUGCGGUUAAAAAGCCGUAGUUGAAUUUCAGGAUUGAUACAUCGGUCGUGCCUUAAGGGGUAUGAACUGGCGUACCAACUCCUCACCUUCUGGUGAUUUGUGAUGCCUCCUUAACUGGGUGUUUCAAUGAAUUGGACUUUUACUUUGAAAAAAUUGUGUGUUUAAAGCAGGCAUUAUUUGCUUGAAUACAUUGCAUGGAAUAAUAAAAUAGGACAAUGAU